rnacentral:rRNA from 1 species
CAGCCGCCGCGGUAAUACAGAGGGUGCAAGCGUUAAUCGGAAUUACUGGGCGUAAAGCGCGCGUAGGUGGUUUGUUAAGUUGGAUGUGAAAUCCCCGGGCUCAACCUGGGAACUGCAUUCAAAACUGACUGACUAGAGUAUGGUAGAGGGUGGUGGAAUUUCCUGUGUAGCGGUGAAAUGCGUAGAUAUAGGAAGGAACACCAGUGGCGAAGGCGACCACCUGGACUAAUACUGACACUGAGGUGCGAAAGCGUGGGGAGCAAACAGGAUUAGAUACCCCUGUAGUCCCUGUCUCUUAUAC